rnacentral:ncRNA from 1 species
AAAGACUUAGUCCUAACCUUACAGUUAAUUCUUGCCAAAUAUAUACAUGCAAGUAUCCGCACACCAGUGUAAAUGCCCUCAGCUCCCACUAACCGAAGUACUGAGGGGCAGGUAUCAGGCACACCACACUGUAGCCCAAAACGCCUUGCUCCGCCACACCCCCACGGGUACUCAGCAGUAAUUAACAUUAAGCAAUAAGUGCAAACUUGACUUAGUUAUGGCAAUACACAGGGCUGGUAAAUCUUGUGCCAGCCACCGCGGUCACACAAGAAGCCCAAAUUAACCGUAUGCGGCGUAAAGAGUGACAUUAUGUUAUCGCAGCAGACUAAGAUAAAAAUACAACUGAGCUGUCAUAAGCAAAAGAUGUACCUAAACCCACCUUUAAAAUGAUCUUAGUACCUCCGAUUAAUUAUACUUCACGAAAGCUAGGGCACAAACUGGGAUUAGAUACCCCACUAUGCCUAGCCCUAAAUCUUGGUACUUACUACACUAGAGUAUNCCGCCCGGGAACUACGAGCACAAACGCUUGAAACCCUAAGGACUUGGCGGUGCCUCAAACCCACCUAGAGGAGCCUGUCCUAUAAUCGAUAACCCACGAUACACCCGACCGCCCCUUGCCAGAACAGCCUACAUACCGCCGUCACCAGUCCACCUUUUUGAAGGCACAACAGUGGGCAGGAUAGCCUCACUCCGCUAACAAGACAGGUCAAGGUAUAGCCCACGGGGUGGAAGAGAUGGGCUACACUCUCUACAAUAGAGCUACGGAAAGGAGUGUGAAAUCACACCUAGAAGGCGGAUUUAGCAGUAAAGCAGGACAAUAAAGCCCCCUUUAAACUGGCCCUGAGGCACGUACAUUCCGCCCGUCACCCUCCUCAUAAGCUAUCCUUCUUAGUACAUAAAUCACUAGCAAGCUAAAGACGAGGUAAGUCGUAACAAGGUAAGUGUACCGGAAGGUGCGCUUAGCACAU